rnacentral:rRNA from 1 species
AUUGAACGCUGGCGGCAGGCCUAACACAUGCAAGUCGAACGGUAGCACAGAGAGCUUGCUCUCGGGUGACGAGUGGCGGACGGGUGAGUAAUGUCUGGGAAACUGCCCGAUGGAGGGGGAUAACUACUGGAAACGGUAGCUAAUACCGCAUAACGUCGCAAGACCAAAGUGGGGGACCUUCGGGCCUCACACCAUCGGAUGUGCCCAGAUGGGAUUAGCUAGUAGGUGGGGUAAUGGCUCACCUAGGCGACGAUCCCUAGCUGGUCUGAGAGGAUGGACAGCCAAACUGGAACUGAGACACGGUCCAGACGCCUACGGGAGGCAGCAGUGGGGAAUAUUGCACAAUGGGCGCAAGCCUGAUGCAGCCAUGCCGCGUGUAUGAAGAAGGCCUUCGGGUUGUAAAGUACUUUCAGCGGGGAGGAAGGCGGUGGAGUUAAUAACUUCACCGAUUGACGUUACCCGCAGAAGAAGCACCGGCUAACUCUGUGCCAGCAGCCGCCGUAACAC